AGAGGAAAGAAAAUAUCCUUCCCUUUCUUUAUAUGCUAGGAGCUUCUACAUUUUCUUUCCUGCUUCUCAGAUUUUGUGAACACUGACAUCUCUGGCAAAGUCCUGGACUGUCAGUGACUGGGGACAUGUGAUGCUCAGUGGAUCUGUCUCCAUGGCUGUGGUAUCAAUUCUUCAGGGCUCCUAAUAGCCAGUCAGGGUAAAUCAAGAAACCCGUGAUUAUUGUCUGUUCCUUUGAAAUGCCUCUGCUGCUGCUGCUGCUGCUGCAGGAAGAAAGACAGAGAGGCAUGCAGUCCUCGCACGCUGGCAUUGCUGUUGCCUGUUUUAACGAGCCAUGGCAACCAAGAAGAGAGGAUCCUGGGGCAUCUCAGCUCUCAGGGUGCCAUCUGCUGCGGCUCAGCUGAAAAAGCCCCCAUCUCCCCGUGUUUGGUGGGAAGGCGGUAGGAGGAGUGUAGCAGGCUUCAGGAAGCACUAUACUUUGUGGCCAAGCAGACUUAGCAUAAAGGAAGGAUGGUGGAUAAAAUAUGUGAAUUUCAAGAGAAAAGACUUCAGAGACUCAUGUCAAAA
rnacentral:lncRNA from 1 species